GAUGAACGCUAGCGACAGGCCUAACACAUGCAAGUCGAGGGGUAACAUUAUUUUAGUUUACUAUAAUAGAUGACGACCGGCGCACGGGUGAGUAACACGUAUACAACCUGCCUUUAACAUUGGGAUAACCCGUUGAAAAGCGGACUAAUACCAAAUGAUAUAAUUUUAUCGCAUGAUAUUUUUAUUAAAGAUUUAUUGGUUUUAGAUGGGUAUGCGUAUGAUUAGUUUGUUGGUAAGGUAACGGCUUACCAAGACUUCGAUCAUUAGGGGUUCUGAGAGGAAGGUCCCCCACACUGGUACUGAGACACGGACCAGACUCCUACGGGAGGCAGCAGUGAGGAAUAUUGGUCAAUGGGCGAGAGCCUGAACCAGCCAAGUCGCGUGAAGGAUGACUGCCCUCUGGGUUGUAAACUUCUUUUGUAUAGGAAUAACGGACUCCACGUGUGGAGUUAUGCAUGUACUAUACGAAUAAGGAUCGGCUAACUCCGUGCCAGCAGCCGCGGUAAUACGGAGGAUCCAAGCGUUAUCCGGAUUUAUUGGGUUUAAAGGGUGCGUAGGUGGACUUAUAAGUCAGCGGUGAAAGUUUGUAGCUCAACUAUAAAAUUGCCGUUGAAACUGUAGGUCUUGAGUUCAAGUGAGGUUGGCGGAAUGUGUCAUGUAGCGGUGAAAUGCUUAGAUAUGACCCAGAACUCCGAUUGCGUAGGCAGCUGACUGGUAUGCGACUGACACUGAUGCACGAAAACGUGGGUAUCAAACAGG
rnacentral:rRNA from 1 species